rnacentral:rRNA from 1 species
GACGAACGCUGGCGGCGUGCUUAACACAUGCAAGUCGAACGGUCCGAUGCUCGACACCGAGUGUUUCUGCAAAAACGAUGUGAAGCCGGCGGGAAAGCGAUAAGCUAACCUGCAAGGAAAGGCAAGGGGAACUGAGAAGAGCUUUCCCAGGCUUUUUAUAGGGAUUAACACAUUGCCAGGCAGGAGCGCCGGGUGUUGAGCAUCGGAUAGUGGCGAACGGGUGAGUAACGCGUGGGCAAUCUGCCCUUCAGAUGGGGACAACAUCCCGAAAGGGGUGCUAAUACCGAAUACGAUCCUUCCACCGCAUGGAGGGGGGAUGAAAGAUGGCCUCUAUAUAUAAGCUAUCGCUGAAGGAUGAGCCUGCGUCUGAUUAGCUUGUUGGUGGGGUAACGGCCGUACCAAGGCGAUGAUCAGUAGCCGGUCUGAGAGGAUGAACGGCCACAUUGGGACUGAGACACGGCCCAAACUCCUACGGGAGGCAGCAGUGGGGAAU